CCUACGGGGUGCUGCAGUGGGGAAUAUUGGACAAUGGGCGAAAGCCUGAUCCAGCCAUGCCGCGUGUGUGAAGAGGGCCUUCGGGUUGUAAAGCACUUUCAGUGGGGAAGAAAGCCUUGGGGCUAAUACCCUCGAGGAAGGACAUCACCCACAGAAGAAGCACCGGCUAACUCCGUGCCAGCAGCCGCGGUAAUACGGAGGGUGCGAGCGUUAAUCGGAAUUACUGGGCGUAAAGCGCGCGUAGGCGGUCUGAUAAGCCGGUUGCGAAAGCCCCGGGCUCAACCUGGGAACGGCAUCCGGAACUGUCAGGCUAGAGUGCAGGAGAGGAAGGUAGAAUUCCCGGUGUAGCGGUGAAAUGCGUAGAGAUCGGGAGGAAUACCAGUGGCGAAGGCGGCCUUCUGGACUGACACUGACGCUGAGGUGCGAAAGCGUGGGUAGCAAACAGGAUUAGAUACCCCAGUAGUC
rnacentral:rRNA from 1 species